GGAGGAGAGCAAGGCAAAG
rnacentral:misc_RNA from 1 species